rnacentral:tRNA from 8 species
CGGGAUGUGGCUCAGCUUGGUAGAGCACCUGGUUUGGGACCAGGGGGUCGCAGGUUCGAAUCCUGUCAUCCCGACCA